CUUUCAAGACACCUAUGAGAUCUGCCUGUGUUAAACUAUUGACACAUCCUGUUGUAUACAGUCAGGACAUCGGUGCACAGCUAUCAGAGGCUGUAAAGAUCCCUUUGAGACAUGUGGGUGGUAAAAUAUUGACACAUCCUGUAGCAUACCGUCAGGACAUUGGUGCACAGCUAUCAGAUAUGUGUUUUCUCAGAGGAUUUUCAGUGCAGACCAGUCCUAGCAUCAGCCAUCCCCUCAUCAGAUGAUGAACCCCUGAGCUGUGCUCAGUUGUAUACACCCUCAUCAC